CCCCUAGACGUUCUGGGCUGCACGCGCGCUACAAUAAUACGCACAGCGAGUAUCACCGAGCUCGAAAGGGCAAGGUAAACAAUAGAAAAGGUACUGUAAUGGUUAUAGAUCCUUGUAAUUAUUGAUCUUCAACGAGGAAUUCCUAGUAAGUAUGUGUCAUCAUCACGCACUGAUUACGUCCCUGCCCUUUGUACACACCGCCCGUCGCUCCUACCGAUUGGGUGAGCCGAUGAAACUCGCGGAUGUAGGCUAUUCAUAGCCCGCAGAAGAGAUUUGAAUCGUAGCGCUUAGAGGAAGGAGAAGUCGUAACA
rnacentral:rRNA from 1 species